rnacentral:lncRNA from 1 species
GUCCUUCUGUUGCAUCUCUGUCGACAUUACAGCAUCUGUGCUGUUACGUGACACUUUCUAAGGCUUCUAUUGGCUCUCUAAAGCGUUCAGAAAGCGGAAUGACAUGUCUCAUGUCUCUGGGCAAAGUACAGCAGCAGAGUUUGUAAGUGGCCUGACUUCUCCAUUUUUUUCUUUCAGUCUUUGAAUGAAUACAACGUUGUCCAGUUGGAAUAUUAUCGCUAUUUUACGAGAAAAAUAGCAUAAAAAAUUAAUUUUAAACAGCGUUUGACAUGCUUCUAAGUACAGUAAUGGAAUAUUUUGCAUUUUUUUGUCACGAAAUGCGCUUCGGAUAGUGACCUGAACGCACGAACAAAACGGAGGUAUUUGGAUAUAACUAUGGAUUAUUUGGAACCAAAACAACAUUUGUUGUUGAAGUAGAAGUCCUGGGAGUGCAUUCUGACGAAGAACAGCAAAGAUAGAGGAUUUUGCAAUAAAUGUCCGUUGACAACUCUGCUCGGGGGGCUUCAGCGAUGCAUGGAUUUCACCCCCAGGAUUGGUUUCUCUACGAGUGGACCUUUUGAACCAGCACCUACAGCUCCGCCAGUGCCUGAGUCUUUGUCUGCUGUUCAGACUCCUCCAUGGAGGAAGGCAUUGAAGUUGUCGAUGUUAAAUAUGACAUGUUUUAUCACAUUAUUUUUCCUCAACUACUAUGGUUCUGGAAGCCAUGAUAGAACACUGAUUCACAGCAUGAUGUGCCUAUGACACCUGUUCGGCCCUGCUAAGGACAUCUGUGAAGACCACCUCACCUUUCUCCCGGCCCCUCUCCAGCCCUGCUAAGGACCUCUGUGAAGACCACCUCACCUUUCUCCCGGCCCCUCUCCAGCCCUGCUAAGGACCUCUGUGAAGACCACCUCACCUUUCUCCCGGACCCUCUCCAGCCCUGCUAAGGACCUCUGUGAAGACCACCUCACCUUUCUCCCGGACCCUCUCCAGCCCUGCUAAGUACCACCUCCCCUUUCUCCCGGCCCCUCUCCAGCCCUGCUAAGGACCUCUGUGAAAACCACCUCACCUUUCUCCCGGACCCCUCUGCUACAGCCUAUAUGAAGACCACCACUGCCUCUGCUGUCUCUCAGGGCACCGCCAGCUCUGCUAGAGUCUCUGUAAAUGCUCUCCUCUGCUAUAGCCUCGAAGAGGAGCCUCAGUAAAUAACAUUUUGUCAUUUCUUAACUUAUAUCAUUACACCAUUAGAACAUGGCAGAAACAAAACACUGCUGACUUCUCUGCUGCCAGCCCCACCCAGGCGGCUCCCACUACAGUCCAAACUGCUUCCUGCAGUGCCAAGUCUGCUGCCACCAGUACUUGGCCUGCUUUACCCACAGCCCAAUCGGCUGCCAGCCAACUCCACCCAUUCAAAAAAUCCGUCACUAGUUUCCAUAUAGACUCUGCUGUACUCCAGCCUUUUUAAAAUCUUAUUUCUAAAAUUAGGGUCUCUAUUCAAUCAGAUCGAGCGUUAACCUGCGGUUGCUCUUGUGUGUCACAAACCACUCCCUUCCCACUGGUUGAAUCAACGUUGUUUCCACGUCAGUUCAAUGCAAUUACGUUGAACCAACGUGGAAUAGACGUUGAAUUGAUGUCUGUGCCCAGUGGGAUGUGACGUAUUUAUAAUUAUAUCAGGUAAUAUGCAGUCCACAAGAAACCGCAACAGAUAAUUGAUCAUUUAAGAUACUAAUUGUAUAAACAAGGUAACGGGAGUAUUGUACAGUAAUAAACCAACCUCAUUAGAACAACAAUUUUUUGUUAGGAUUAUGCUACAAUAGUCGUUCCAUUAACUCAGGUGAUAUUAAAUUCUUUAUUUUUGGUUAGUGGUUGUUUAGAAAUGUUAUUUCUGGUCGAGGAGGG